rnacentral:rRNA from 1 species
CUACCCUUGACAUCCAGAGAAUCCCGCAGAGACGUGGGAGUGCCGAAAGGAACUCUGAGACAGGUGCUGCAUGGCUGUCGUCAGCUCGUGUUGUGAGAUGUUGAGUUAAGUCCCGUAACGAGCGCAACCCUUAUCUUUAGUUGCCAACAUGUAAUGGUGGGGACUCUAAAGAGACUGCUGGUGAUGAACCGGAGGAAGGCGGGGACGACGUCAAGUCAUCAUGGCCUUUAUGGGUAGGGCUACACACGUGCUACAAUGGGGCGUACAGAGGGUUGCCAACCUGCGAAGGGGAGCCAAUCCCAGAAAGCGCCUCGUAGUCCGGAUCGGAGUCUGCAACUCGACUCCGUGAAGUCGGAAUCGCUAGUAAUCGCGAAUCAGAACGUCGCGGUGAAUACGUUCCC